rnacentral:rRNA from 1 species
GACGAACGCUGGCGGCGUGCUUAACACAUGCAAGUCGAGCGGAAAGACCAUGCUUUUGUGUGGUGCUCGAGUGGCGAACGGGGGAGUAACACGUGAGUAACCUGCCCUUGACUUUGUGAUAACUUCAGGAAACUGGGGCUAAUACCGCAUAGGAGCUCCUGCUGCAUGGGGGGGGUUGGAGAGUUUCGGCGGUUGUGGAUGGACUCGCGGCUUAUCAGCUUGUUGGUCGGGUAGUGGCUUACCAAGGCUUUGACGGGUAGCCCGCCUGAGAGGGUGAACGGGCACAUUGGGACUGAGAUACGGCCCAGAAUCCUAUGGGAGGCAGCAGUCGGGAAUAUUGCACAAUGGGCGGAAGCGUGAUGCAGCAACGCCGCGUGCGGGAUGACGGCCUUCGGGUUGUAAACCGCUUUCGCCUGUGACGAAGCGUGAGUGACGGUAAUGGGUAAAGAAGCACCGGCUAACUACGUG